CCACUAUGAUCACCGUUCUUUUCUCUACCAGUUGAUCGGAGCCAAACAUCAGGAGCUGCCGCACCCGAGAGCACCGCCGCCGGUAAGUCUCAGUUUUUCGUGAUUUUUUGGCCGCCCGAGGGCCCUAGGAUUGUUUUAUUGCAGGGACCGAUGCAAGUUUGGCCGAAUUCGGCCGAAAACGGCCAACCUGAGGCGGAUCGCCGCUGUAGGCGACGGCGCCGUCGCCGUCACACGACGGAGCUGCCGU
rnacentral:lncRNA from 1 species